UACGUAGGGUGCAAGCGUUGUCCGGAAUUAUUGGGCGUAAAGAGCUCGUAGGCGGUCUGUCGCGUCGGCUGUGAAAACUCGGGGCUCAACCCCGAGCCUGCAGUCGAUACGGGCAGACUAGAGGUAUGCAGGGGAGAACGGAAUUCCUGGUGUAGCGGUGAAAUGCGCAGAUAUCAGGAGGAACACCGGUGGCGAAGGCGGUUCUCUGGGCCUGACCUGACGCUGAGGAGCGAAAGCGUGGGGAGCGAACAGG
rnacentral:rRNA from 1 species